rnacentral:rRNA from 1 species
UACGAAGGGGGGCUAGCGUUGCUCGGAAUCACUGGGCGUAAAGGGUGCGUAGGCGGGUUUUUAAGUCAGGGGUGAAAUCCUGGAGCUCAACUCCAGAACUGCCUUUGAUACUGAAGAUCUUGAGUCCGGGAGAGGUGAGUGGAACUGCGAGUGUAGGAGGUGAAAUUCGUAGAUAUUCGCAAGAACACCAGUGGCGAAGGCGGCUUACUGGUCCGGUUCUGACGCUGAGGCGCGAAAGCGUGGGGAGCAAACAGG